CCACCCAGGCGCCCCGGGAAAGUCCUUCUUGUCCCACGAGAUGUGACCCUCCUGGGACCCAGCCACCCUGCAAGGACAUAGCCUGGUCAGUGGAAUGCAGGCUGGACCCUGCCCUCUGAUAUCUCGCCCGAUGAAGGACUGCCUCCGCGUGCCUCCCGCGGGAGGUUUCGGGUUUGAACUGGACACGGCAAGCAUGUCACCGGCCAUCGAACGCAGGUGGUGAACGUCUCUAUUUGGGCAGGGCCUCCGGCACCCAGCUUCCGCCUACCUGGCACCAGGAUCCUGGAGAGGGCCUCGGGCUGCCCCAGCGUGUCCACCUUCACGUGCCGGAACGCCUUGCACACGGGGCUCUGCAGAACUCAUAGACCACGAAGGUGAAGCCAUCCGCCAGCCUCACUGCCGCGACGCUGGGAGGGGAGAGGCUCCAGGUAGAGGGCCAGCCUCCUCUGCACGCCCCCCAAGGCAGAUGCCCCCCCCCCACGCCUAGCGGAGGUGGGAGGGGCCCCCAGCACCUGUCGCCAGGCUGGCCCAGAAGGUGGCCAAGAAAUACUCCCUGAACGAACUACAAUGAAAAGGACACUUGAAAAGGUUCUAUUGUCACCUAAAAAUCCCACCUUUAAAAAAUAAAAGCACCUUCCUUCUGC